rnacentral:rRNA from 1 species
GGCUAAGUGGAAAACGAAGUGGGAAGGCUAAGACAGUCAGGAAGUUGGCUUAGAAGCAGCCAUCCUUCAAAGAAAGCGUAAUAGCUCACUGAUCGAGUCUUCCUGCGCGGAAGAUGUAACGGGGCUAAGUCGAUAACCGAAGCCGCGGAUUCAACUGUAAAGGUUGAGUGGUAGGGGAGCGUUCCGUAAGCCUGAGAAGGCGGACCCGCGAGGGCCGCUGGAGGUAUCGGAAGUGCGAAUGCUGACAUGAGUAACGUUAAAGCGGGUGAAAAGCCCGCUCGCCGCAAGCCCAAGGUUUCCUGCUCUACGUUCAUCGGAGCAGGGUGAGUCGGCCCCUAAGGCGAGGCUGAGAAGCAUAGCUGAUGGGAAC